UGGAGCAUUUAGUCCAUUUACAUUUAAAGUUAAUAUUGUUAUGUGUGAAUUUGAUCCUGUCAUUAUGAUGUUAGCUGGUUAUUUUGCUCGUUAGUUGAUGCAGUUUCUUCCUAGUCUCCAUGGUCUUUACAUUUUGGCAUGAUUUUGCAGCGGCUGGUACCGGUUGUUCCUUUCCAUGUUUAACCCUUCCUUCAGGAGCUCUUUUAGAGCAGGCCUCACCCACCUCAGCCUCCCCAAGUGCUGGGAUUACAAGUGUGAGCCACCAUACCCAGCCUGCAGAGAUUUUUUUUUAGGGAUGGGAAGAUCACAGAAAUGCAUCAAAGCACAUAUUGUCCAAAUAAGACUCUGCCUGUAAGGCGCCUCCCAGGAAUGCUACCCUGAUCCCAGGGCUCAGAGCAGAUCCAUCUCCCAGUCGUGGCCACUCCCAACACAAUGUGAUGCUGCUGGCUCUUCUUUACAUGAGAGAUCUCCCCCAGCCCCCCAUUCUUCCUUCUGUGCCUGGACCUGCCCGGGGUCAGUGCUGCCCAGGCAGGAAGCGGAAGCCCAGGUCAAGACCCACGUGGGCCUGGCUCGUUUCUCUCCUGGGGGGCGUUCUGCAACCCUCUGCCUGGUGCUGAGGUCGACCAGAUGCCCCG
rnacentral:lncRNA from 10 species